CAAUAUAUAGCUUAAGGGUAAAGCGCUAUAUUUACGCUAUAGGGAGUAAAAGUUCGACUCUUUUUAUAUUGA
rnacentral:tRNA from 1 species